rnacentral:tRNA from 1 species
GCCUUAGUAGCUUAGAUUAAAGCAUCGGUCUUGUAAUCCGAAGAGCGGAGGUUAAACUCCUCCCUAAAGCC